AGUGCACCGUCCUCGGGUUCGGGUCUUACGAAAAACCGAGACCGGGGAUUACUCUUGUUCGUGUUUCGCCAUUUCCUCUCCGACGUCAAUCCCAGCACCGAGCGGUAUCUCGCCCUCGAGACCGAGGGCACUGCUCCUUUCGGCUCCCUAGGGAAUCCUGGAUGUUAAACAUCCUAAGAAGUCGAUCCCAUUGCUUCGAACAAAGGAGGGAACUGACGGAAGAUUCGGUUUUUCGACCAUUACCCAUCCCGCCCUUUGGGUGUACCUAAUUAACCGUUAAUUUACGCCCCUGCACAUUAUCUACUUCUACACUUCUUUGACCGUAUUAUCAAUGUUAACGAUGAAUGUAGUCGUAAGUCGCCGUUUUCCAAAUCUGAAAUUUUAAUUCCAGCUCGCGAUUGGUUGGGGAUAGAAUUAUCAUUUUACUGCCGAAGAAUAUGACUGAUCCCUGCGGUCGGUGAGUCCCAUUAAAGCAGUCCCAUUUCCAUUCACCUGGACGUGGGCAAAAUAGUUUCCCAUCUAGAUGUUUCAAUCUGCGGUUUAGCUGAAACUGGUACGGACCAACAAUGUGCCAACAUUGUGAAAUUCAAGUGAACGGACAUAACCGUGCUUUAAUUCUGAAUCUGUAUAUAUAUUUCCUGACGAUUGCUGUCCGCUUAAUCUGGAAUACAUAAGUCCGCGAGGGUAAUUAUUUCCUUCUGUUAUCGAAAUAAGGAAUAUUCAACCUCAUUGGAAAACCUGUUCAAUGGGAACGUUAACAAGAUUAAUAAAUAAUUUGGAGGAUCGAGGGCAUCCGUAUUAUUCGUCGAGCGACUCUUCUUCUUUCCAGGAGGAAAUAUGAAAAUGAAAAUUCACACGACCAAGCCUCGACGAAAUUUACGUCACAUGGAGCUUUACAAGCAACGGAAUAAGAUAACAAAAUCCACGUGUCGUAAUUGAACAUUCCUUUAAAUAGUCUCGUAUUAUCCAGAGUACGUUCUCCGUUACCUUGACCUUGCGUUAUCUGCAGAGGUCCGAUCUAACGGAAUCACGGUUACAUAAUUAUGACAGUCUGAAUUACGAUGCAGUUAGUCCCGUUUCAUGAUUCCUUUCCAUGUAAACAAAAAAAAAGAGUUGUGCAUAAUCAUCGCUCUUAAUGCAAACACCACUUGCUGACUCUUCGCUUUUUGUAUUUAAUUUCCUUCGUCCAACAGCGAGUAUUAAAUUCUCCUGCUUAAAGCACUCCACUGGGCGAAACGUAAACUCGCUGGAUUGGUUAUUAAAUAAAAAAAGAUUCUAUAAUAAGAGGUCCUUCGUUCUCUGGUUAUUUAUGCUAGAACAAAAUGAGCGAUGACAACCUGUUCGUGAAAUCCUCCCUCUUCGUCUCUCUAUAAAUCUCCAUAUCAUACGUUUCUCGGCCACCGUUUUAUCCUAUUUUUUCUGCUUCUCUCUCCCUUUUUACAGAUACGUAAAAUCGUGCUCUUCGAAGUCUUAGGCCGGCUGCAAUUUGCCAGACAAAAAGAGCAAGAAGAAAGGCCACCGGUAGCACCGGUCCUAAUCAGUGGCUCCUCGGAAGAUGCCUUCGGUAUUCAGGCAUCUCGCACCAACGUCGCCCGAGGUUAUAGCAUUAUCGAUUCUGGAGAAAUCCUUCGCAACAUCGACGUCCCAUCCACGAUGUUGGUUAGACCGAACCCUUUGCACCACUUUGUUUCCCGAAGCUCAAGAGAAAGAGUGGCUGGCUACAACGGAAAGCUCCUUUGAGCUAAUUAUGUGCCGUGGGAGAGCACUGGACCUCUCUAAGGGUCCAAGAUAAUAGAUGUCUCGAAGGGAGCUAUUUUGGACCACUUUGGAAUUAUCUUUUAACAACACAAUCUUAUCACGUUGCAGGAGAUCGGCAAAAACUGAGCAGACACCAGGACCGUAUUAUCAUAGGAAGUUGAAUUACAGAUCAAAGGAUUUUAAUCUCCACCAUGCCCUGAAUGUAUAUUAACAAACUCCCAAGAAAAAUAACAUAGUCCCAGGACGCCUUCCGUUCGGCUCUAGACUAUGUGGCCAAAGACGUAUUUCGGUGACUGGAAUUACGUUUUUGCACCCUUCCUAAUGGUAUGAGACUAUUAUCUAAUUAAUGAAACCCAUGGAAUAAAAUAAGGAACUCCAAUUUAAUGAACGGUAUCAGCAAUCGCGAUGGCUUUUCCUAAGAAUCCGUAUCCAGGAAGCACCGAGACAUUCACUUAUCCGAUCCAAAGUGUCCUUAGAGACAGCCUCGUGCAGGUUGUCUCGUUUAAAUCGACACAUAGCGCCUGUCCUAAGUAAUAUUCUAGAUCCGGAAGAAGCAUAAAAGAGCGUACUCAAGCAUGAAGCUGCACGACGAGGUACUGGCUGUGCAAGGAAGACGGGCGAAGGAACGAGUUAACCUGCCGAAAAGACCCGCCGUCAAGGCAAGGAUCUCUUCCAAGACGUCCAUACCCGGAAAGCAACCUCCAGGAUUAAAUAUUUCCAACCACAUCACCACCUCGAGCCCGGAGGGAUCUCUGAGCGGCGCUAAUUAGCCUUCGUGGGAUAUAGAAGGUCGUUUAAUUGACCAUCCGUAUCCUGAUCGCAUGGCUGCAGGAGAUGGAGGAGGCAAAAGAGAGAAGAGGAUAAUGAAAUAACGACCGCGGUUCCGGAGCUGGGGCAAAAAGCUCGAGGAGAAACAAUCGCGGAACUCGCGAUGUAAAAAUAGCGGAUUUCGCGAAAGUAAAAGGUUAGCCGAGGGGAAGGAAGGGAGAUCGAGGCAGGCUCGCUCGAAGACUGGGCACCGCGUUAUAAUCUGAACUGCUGCCGAGAGUCUCCCUGUAAUCGCACAUAGGCGUAUGUACGCGUAGGUAUACAUACACCUAUGUACCAUCCUGGCUCGGUUCUAAAUUCAAUUCCGGUGACCUACAUUAGGGGCUACGUGACAGGGUGGAAACUGCCGGGAAAUUUCAGACGUGGGUAGUUCGAUCGGAAAAGGGACGGGUAAACGCUGGUUUUCCGGCGGGGUUAAGAUUGCGGGCUGGUCACUUCGACGUUAAGUAGGACUCGUGAAUAAUUCCCACCCGACCACGGCCAUGGUCGUCCACCCGCCUGCCCGCCACCCCGCCAGAGAAAACUCGGCCUUUUCGGCUUUCACUGGCUCUCGUGAACUAUCUCACGUGUUUAUUUACGAGUCAAGUUGCUCCUCGGAGUGACGGAAAAACGUUCUUUAAUAAAGACCCAGACGAUGAUACAUAAGAAAAAUGGCGAAGAAAAUCUAUCAGACGUAGGGAUAGGACCCUUCAUCUCGGCCAGGCUGUUUUUAAUUCCUAAUUAAGAUAUGUGUCGUAACUGUAGUUACUGAAAGAUUUGAAACCUUAGCGGGAAAAAUGUCAGAUAUGUUUAUUAGAGGCGAUGGAAUU